rnacentral:misc_RNA from 1 species
GAUGAAGAACGUAGCGAAAUGCGAUACGUAAUGUGAAUUGCAGAAUUCAGUGAAUCAUCGAGUCUUUGAACGCACAUUGCGCCCCCUGGUAUUCCGGGGGGCAUGCCUGUCCGAGCGUCAUUGCUGCCCUCAAGCACGGCUUGUGUGUUGGGCCUCCGUCCUCCUCCCGGGGGACGGGCCCGAAAGGCAGCGGCGGCACCGCGUCCGGUCCUCGAGCGUAUGGGGCUUCGUCACCCGCUCUUGUAGGCCCGGCCGGCGCUUGCCGACACAUCAAUCUUUUUUCCAGGUUGACCUCGGAUCAGGUAGGGAUACCCGCUGAACUUAAGCAUAUCAAUAGCGGAG